rnacentral:rRNA from 1 species
UACAGAGGGGGCAAGCGUUAUUCGGAAUUAUUGGGCGUAAAGGGCGCGUAGGCGGCCAUUUAAGUGACGGGUGAAAGCCCUCGGCUUAACCGAGGAACUGCCUGUCAGACUGGAUGGCUUGAGACCGGGAGAGGUGAGUGGAAUUCCCAGUGUAGCGGUGAAAUGCGUAGAUAUUGGGAGGAACACCAGUGGCGAAGGCGGCUCUCUGGUACGUGACUGACGCUGAGACGCGAAAGCGUGGGGAGCAAACAGG